UUUGAUUUUUUGAUUAAAACUAAUGAGUGCCCAUCCCUAUCUAAUGUGGCUUAGUCCAAUAACUAUAGACACAUCACUCACCUAACAUGUGCUAAGUUAUGGUCUCUAUUCUCCUAAUCCCCCUAUAAAAAAAUACCACCCUAUAAAAAAAUACCAAAAGAGUACUAAAAUAGAGUAAAUUCUCUCAUAUCAAAAUAAAAAAUAUCAUCUUCCUCUCUAAAAUUCCAGCAUCAUCUCCUUCAAUACUAUUGCCACCACCAAAGGGCAGAGCCAUGUUCAACCCCCUCUCAAAUAUUUUAAAAAAAAAUCAUAUAUGUAUUGAA
rnacentral:misc_RNA from 1 species